rnacentral:rRNA from 1 species
AGAGUUUGAUCCUGGCUCAGGAUGAACGCUGGCGGCGUGCUUAACACAUGCAAGUCGAACGGUGAAAGAGAGCUUGCUCUCUGGAUCAGUGGCGAACGGGUGAGUAACACGUGAGCAAUCUGCCCCUGACUCUGGGAUAAGCGUUGGAAACGACGUCUAAUACCGGAUACGAGCUGCGAAGGCAUCUUCAGCAGCUGGAAAGAACUUCGGUCAGGGAUGAGCUCGCGGCCUAUCAGCUAGUUGGUGAGGUAACGGCUCACCAAGGCGUCGACGGGUAGCCGGCCUGAGAGGGUGACCGGCCACACUGGGACUGAGACACGGCCCAGACUCCUACGGGAGGCAGCAGUGGGGAAUAUUGCACAAUGGGCGCAAGCCUGAUGCAGCAACGCCGCGUGAGGGACGACGGCCUUCGGGUUGUAAACCUCUUUUAGCAGGGAAGAAGCGAAAGUGACGGUACCUGCAGAAAAAGCACCGGCUAACUACGUGCCAGCAGCCGCGGUAAUACGUAGGGUGCAAGCGUUAUCCGGAAUUAUUGGGCGUAAAGAGCUCGUAGGCGGUUUGUCGCGUCUGCUGUGAAAACCCGAGGCUCAACCUCGGGCCUGCAGUGGGUACGGGCAGACUAGAGUGCGGUAGGGGAGAUUGGAAUUCCUGGUGUAGCGGUGGAAUGCGCAGAUAUCAGGAGGAACACCGAUGGCGAAGGCAGAUCUCUGGGCCGUAACUGACGCUGAGGAGCGAAAGGGUGGGGAGCAAACAGGCUUAGAUACCCUGGUAGUCCACCCCGUAAACGUUGGGAACUAGUUGUGGGGUCCAUUCCACGGAUUCCGUGACGCAGCUAACGCAUUAAGUUCCCCGCCUGGGGAGUACGGCCGCAAGGCUAAAACUUAAAGGAAUUGACGG